GUGCUUGCUUCGGCAGCACAUACACUAAAACUGAAAUGAUACAGAAAAAAAUAGCAUGUCCCUGUGCAAGGAUUACAUGCAAAUUCAUGAAGCAUCCAUUUUUUAU
ensembl:snRNA U6 U6 spliceosomal RNA